rnacentral:rRNA from 1 species
UGGGGAAUAUUGCACAAUGGGCGCAAGCCUGAUGCAGCCAUGCCGCGUGUAUGAAGAAGGCCUUCGGGUUGUAAAGUACUUUCAGCGGGGAGGAAGUGAGUAAAGUUAAUACCUUUGCUCAUUGACGCUACCCGCAGAAGACGCACCGGCUAACUCCGUGCCAGCAGCCGCGGUAAUACGGUGGGUGCAAGCGUUAAUCGGAAUUACUGGGCGUAAAGCGCACGCAUGCGGUUUGUUAAGUCAGAUGUGAAAUCCCCGGGCUCAACCUGGGAACUGCAUCUGAUGCUGGCAAGCUUGAGUCUCGUAGAGGGGUGUAGAAUUCCAGGUGUAGCGGGGAAAUGCGUAGAGAUCUGGAGGAAUAACGGUGGCGAAGGCGGCCCCCUGGACGAAGACUGACGCUCAGGUGCGAAAGCGUGGGGAGCAAACAGG